CCUUUGGAUCAAUUACAACUGUUGGAUCAUGUAAAAUAGGUGGGCCACCACCGCUUGAUUUGGAACAGAGCAUUUCUGGCCGUUUGAUUGGGUGUUUCAGCCAUUCAAUGGUGCAAUAGAAGCUACCCGCCUCAUGCGCCAUGAUAAAAGACUGACGGGAUUAUUCCCAUGAGCCGCAUGUGGAUCGGGUGUGCACUAGCUUAUGC
rnacentral:lncRNA from 1 species